rnacentral:rRNA from 1 species
UACGUAGGGUGCGAGCGUUAAUCGGAAUUACUGGGCGUAAAGCGUGCGCAGGCGGUCUGUUAAGACCGAUGUGAAAUCCCCGGGCUUAACCUGGGAACUGCAUUGGUGACUGGCAGGCUUUGAGUGUGGCAGAGGGAGGUAGAAUUCCACGUGUAGCAGUGAAAUGCGUAGAGAUGUGGAGGAACACCAAUGGCGAAGGCAGCCCCCUGGGAUAACACUGACGCUCAGGCACGAAAGCGUGGGGAGCAAACAGG